rnacentral:rRNA from 1 species
UCCCGUUGAUCCUGCGGGAGGCUGCUGCUAUUAGGAUUCGACUCAGCCAUGCAAGUCAAGGGGGCCUUCGGACCACCGGCAAAAGGCUCAGUAACACGUCAAUAAUCUCCCCUUUGGUCUGGGAUAACUUCGGGAAACUGAGGCUAACACCGGAUAGGAAAAAAUUCUGGAAUGACUUUUUCUGAAAAGCAAUGCCAAAGGAUGAGUUGGCGGCGGAUUAGGCUGAUGGCGGGGUAAUGGCCCACCAUACCUUCGAUCCGUAGAGGCCUUGAGAGAGGGAGCCUCGAGAAGGGUACUGAGAUACUGACCCUAGCCCUACGGGGUGCAUCAGGCGCGAAACCUUUACAAUGCACGAAAGUGUGAUAAGGGAAUCCUAAGUGCUCAUGCUUUGCAUGGGCUUUUGUCAAGAGUAAAUACCUUGGCGAAUAAGUGGUGGGAAAGACUGGUGCCAGCCGCCGCGGUAACACCAGCGCCACUAGUGGCAGCCCCGAUUAUUGGGCCUAAAGCGUCCGUAGCCUGUUUGUUAAAUCUUGUGUGAAAUCGUUGGCCUAAAUCCAACGGCGGGCACGAGAAACUGGCAAACUAGAGACCGGGAGGAGUCGGAGGUAUUUUUGGGGGAGCGGUAGAAUGUUAUAAUCCCAAAAGGACCACCUGUGGCGAAGGCGUCUGACUAGAACGGAUCUGACGGUGAGGGACGAAAGCUAGGGGAUCAAAACGGAUUAGAUACCCGAGUAGUCCUAGCUGUAAACUCUGCGAGCAAGGUGUUGCGUAUUCUUCGUGAAUAUGCAGUAUCGAAACGAAGGUGUUAAGCUCGCCGCCUGGGGAGUAUGGUCGCAAGGCUGAAACUUAAAGGAAUUGGCGGGGGAGCACUACAACAGGUGCGGCGUGCUGUUUAAUCUAAUUCAACUCAGAGAAUCUCACCGGGGGCGACGGCAGGAUGACGGUCAAGUUGAUGUCUUUACCUGACGAGCCGAGAGGUAGUGCAUGGCCGCCGUCAGCUCGUGCCGUAAGGUGUCCUCUUAAGUGAGGUAACGAGCGAGACCUGCGCCCACAAUUGCUAACAGUUCAUUUAUGGAGUCUGAGAACAUUGUGGGGACUGCCUUCGAAAGAAGGAGGAAGGUGCAGGCUACGGUAGGUCUGUAUGCUCCGAAUCUCCCGGGCUACAAGCGCGCAACAAUGGUAGGAACAAUGGGCUGCAACUCCGAAAGGAGAAGCCAAUCCUUCAAAUCCUAUCUUAGUCUAGAUCGAGGAUUGUAACUCAUCCUCGUGACAAUGGAAUCUGUAGUAAUCGGACGUUAUCAACGUCCGGUGAAUAUGUCCCUGCUCCUUGCACACACUGCCCGUCAAGCCACUCGAGCAGGGUUUGGGUGAGAUUCACCAAUAUUGGGUGUCUCGAAUCUAAGCUCAGUGAGAAGGGCUAAGUCGUCACAAGGUA